CGCGGGGUGGAGCAGCCCGGUAGCUCGUCAGGCUCAUAACCUGAAGGCCGCAGGUUCAAAUCCUGCCCCCCCCGCAACCA
rnacentral:tRNA from 1 species